rnacentral:rRNA from 1 species
AGAGUUUGAUCCUGGCUCAGAUUGAACGCUGGCGGCAGGCCUAACACAUGCAAGUCGAGCGGUAACAGGAGAAAGCUUGCUUUCUUGCUGACGAGCGGCGGACGGGUGAGUAAUGUAUGGGGAUCUGCCCGAUAGAGGGGGAUAACUACUGGAAACGGUGGCUAAUACCGCAUAAUGUCUACGGACCAAAGCAGGGGCUCUUCGGACCUUGCACUAUCGGAUGAACCCAUAUGGGAUUAGCUAGUAGGUGGGGUAAAGGCUCACCUAGGCGACGAUCUCUAGCUGGUCUGAGAGGAUGAUCAGCCACACUGGGACUGAGACACGGCCCAGACUCCUACGGGAGGCAGCAGUGGGGAAUAUUGCACAAUGGGCGCAAGCCUGAUGCAGCCAUGCCGCGUGUAUGAAGAAGGCCUUAGGGUUGUAAAGUACUUUCAGCGGGGAGGAAGGUGAUAAGGUUAAUACCCUUGUCAAUGACGUACCCGCAGAGAGCCCGAUCGCC